rnacentral:rRNA from 1 species
AUUGAACGCUGGCGGCAGGCCUAACACAUGCAAGUCGAGCGGAUGAAGGGAGCUUGCUCCUGGAUUCAGCGGCGGACGGGUGAGUAAUGCCUAGGAAUCUGCCUGGUAGUGUGGGAUAACGUCCGGAAACGGGCGCUAAUACCGCAUACGUCCUGAGGGAGAAAGUGGGGGAUCUUCGGACCUCACGCUAUCAGAUGAGCCUAGGUCGGAUUAGCUAGUUGGUGGGGUAAAGGCCUACCAAGGCGACGAUCCGUAACUGGUCUGAGAGGAUGAUCAGUCACACUGGAACUGAGACACGGUCCAGACUCCUACGGGAGGAAGCAGUGGGGAAUAUUGGACAAUGGGCGAAAGCCUGAUCCAGCCAUGCCGCGUGUGUGAAGAAGGUAUUCGGAUUGUAAAGCACUUUAAGUUGGGAGGAAGGGCAGUAAGUUAAUACCUUGCUGUUUUGACGUUACCAACAGAAUAAGCACCGGCUAACUUCGUG